GACGAACGCUGGCGGCGUGCUUAACACAUGCAAGUCGAACGGAAAGGCCCUGCUUUUGUGGGGUGCUCGAGUGGCGAACGGGUGAGUAACACGUGAGUAACCUGCCCUUGACUUUGGGAUAACUUCAUGAAACUGGGGCUAAUACCGGAUAUGAGCUCCUCCUGCAUUGUGGGGGUUGGAAAGUUUCGGCGGUUGGGGAUGGACUCGCGGCUUAUCAGCUUGUUGGUGGGGUAGUGGCUUACCAAGGCUUUGACGGGUAGCCGGCCUGAGAGGGUGACCGGCCACACUGGGACUGAGAUACGGCCCAGACUCCUACGGGAGGCAGCAGUGGGGAAUAUUGCACAAUGGGCGGAAGCCUGAUGCAGCAACGCCGCGUGCGGGAUGACGGCCUUCGGGUUGUAAACCGCUUUCGCCUGUGACGAAGCGUGAGUGACGGUAAUGGGUAAAGAAGCACCGGCUAACUACGUG
rnacentral:rRNA from 1 species